GCGGGGCGGUGGCAGCGGGGGCGCGGCCAGGCCGGUAGCGGGGCGGGGCCCGGGGAGCAGCCGCCAUGUUGGCGGCGCCGCUGCGCUGCGCCCGCAGGCGCACGUUUCUAACGGGGAUCGCAGCCAUGGCCACGGUGGGGACACCCGGCCCCCCCAGCCGCCCUCGUCACACCAACCGCCUGAUUAACGAAAAGUCCCCGUACCUCCUGCAGCACGCCCACAACCCCGUGGAUUGGUACCCUUGGGGUCAGGAAGCCUUUGAUAAAGCAAAGACAGAAAACAAGCUGAUAUUCCUGUCAGUUGGCUACUCCACCUGCCACUGGUGCCAUGUCAUGGAGGAGGAGUCCUUCAAGAGCCAGGAGAUUGGGGAGAUCAUGAAUGAUAACUUUGUGUGCAUCAAAGUGGAUCGUGAAGAGCGGCCAGAUGUGGACAAAGUGUACAUGACCUUUGUGCAGGCCACCAGUGGUGGAGGUGGUUGGCCCAUGAGUGUCUGGCUGACCCCAGACCUCAAGCCCUUUGCUGGGGGGACGUAUUUCCCUCCUGAGGAUGGAGUUCAUCGUGUUGGUUUUCGGACUGUGCUGCUCCGGAUUGCAGAGCAGUGGAAGGAGAACAAAGAUGCCCUGUUGGAGAGCAGCCACAGGAUUCUGGAAGCAUUGCGACACACAUCAGAGAUCCGUGUUCAGGGCCAGGAGUCACCCCCACCAGCCAAAGAGGUGAUGGACAUCUGUUUCCAGCAGCUCUCCAGAUCCUAUGAUGAGGACUAUGGUGGAUUUUCCAGAUCCCCCAAGUUCCCCACCCCAGUGAAUUUGAAUUUCCUGUUCACAUACUGGGCCCUGCACCGAACAACUCCAGAAGGUGCCCGGGCACUGCAGAUGGCUCUGCACACCCUCAAGAUGAUGGCCCAUGGGGGCAUUCAUGACCACAUUGGUCAGGGGUUUCACCGCUACUCCACGGACCAGCACUGGCAUGUACCUCACUUUGAGAAGAUGCUCUAUGACCAGGGGCAGCUGGCAGCCAUGUACAGCAAAGCCUUCCAGAUCUCUGGUGAUGAAUUCUUUGCUGAUGUUGUCCGAGACAUUCUACUCUACGUCUCGCGUGACCUGAGUGACCAGGCAGGAGGUUUCUAUAGUGCAGAAGAUGCAGAUUCCUACCCAAGCAGCACAUCUAGAGAGAAGCGAGAAGGAGCUUUCUGUGUGUGGGCAGCCGAGGAGCUCCGGGCUCUCCUCCCUGACCCUGUCGAGGGGGCCACAGAGGGGACAACCUUGGGAGAUGUCUUCAUGCACCACUAUGGAGUGGAAGAGGCUGGCAACGUAGACCCCAUGAAGGACCCCCAUCAGGAGCUGAAGGGAAAGAACGUCCUCAUUGCCCGCGGCUCCCCGGAGCUGACAGCAGCCCGAUUUGGGCUGGAGCCAGGCCAGCUGAGUGCCCUGCUGCAGGAAUGCCAACAGAGACUGUCCUCAGCCCGGGCACAGCGGCCACGGCCACACCUGGACACCAAGAUGCUGGCAGCAUGGAAUGGGCUGAUGAUCUCAGGCUUUGCCCAGGCUGGGGCUACCCUGUCUGAGCAGGGAUAUGUGAGCAGGGCUGCACAGGCAGCUGCCUUCCUGAGGACACACCUUUUCGACCCUGACAGUGGGAGGCUGCUGCGGAGCUGCUACCGGGGCGAGCACAACUCAGUGGAGCAGAGCACUGUGCCCAUCCAGGGCUUCCUGGAGGACUAUGUCUUUGUCAUCCAGGCACUCUUUGACCUGUAUGAGGCUUCACUGGAGCAGAGCUGGCUGGAGUGGGCCCUUGAUCUCCAGCACAUGCAAGACAAGCUCUUCUGGGACCCUAAAGGCUUUGCUUAUUUCUCCACUGAGGCCGGCGAUCCCUCCCUGCUGCUGCGUCUCAAGGACGACCAAGAUGGAGCAGAGCCCACCCCUAACUCUGUCGCUGUCACAAACCUGCUCCGAGCAGCUUGUUACUCUGGUCACACGGACUGGGCAGAAAAAGCUGGCAAGAUCUUGUCUGCCUUCUCAGAGAGGCUGCAGAAGAUCCCAAUAACCCUCCCAGAGAUGGUCCGGGCCACCGCUGUCUUCCAUCACACCCUCAAACAGCUCUGUUUUCUCCCUCCUGCCACCCACCCUCCCCCUGGACAGGUCGUCAUCUGUGGGGACCCCCAAGGAGAAGACACCAAAGAGAUGCUGCAUUGCAUCCGCUCUGUCUUCAGCCCAAACAAGGUGCUGAUGGUCGCAGAUGGAGACAGCGCCGGGUUCCUCUACCGCCAGCUGCCUUUCCUUGCAUCCCUGGAGAGGAAGGAUGGGAAAGCCACUGCCUACAUCUGCAGCAACUUCACCUGCUCCCUGCCUGUCACCUCUGUCCAUGAGCUGCGUGGGAUGCUCAGCCCAUGAGCCUCUCAUCCUGCUGCCUGUGGGAAGGGAAGAGUGGGACAGACUGGCAUGGUAGCAUGGGAGAGCGCCAUAACAGAGGCAACUUGAUCACUACCCCAGAUGGUUCCUAGCAUUGCAGUGGGGCUGUGCCCUUCCCCACCUGCAGUGGCUUGGGGACUGCUUGCACUGUUGCUUCAGCAGUGUCUCAGCACAACUGACUGUGGUCCUGGGUCCUGUUUUUGCUUGGCAUCUCUGCUGUGGGGAUUGAUUUGACACCCGUCCUCAGAAGUGCUCAGAGUGAGUUGGUUUGUGUUUGCCGGGAGAGCAUCCUCGGAGAGCAGGGCUGGUGCUGAGUGCCUGUGGGGAAGCCCACACAGAUGCCACAGUGGCAGCUGUCCCCCUGGUGGCACGGUGCUGGGGUGACAUUUUGGUGCCCACCAGCCCCUUGUAGCACAGACACAGGGUGCUUUCCUCCCAUCCUGCGUUGCUCGUUGGUGUCUCUGUGAGCAGCCCCCAGGCAGAGCUAUGCUGUGAACCUCUGUCAGGAUGAAUUGGCUUCACCUCUCAAUAAAACAAAACAAAAAAGAA